CAUGGAGCCAGCCACCCGCCAGCCACUCCUAGCAGCUGGAGGUUUGGGACCCGGGCUGCAGGAAUGUGGCCUACAGUGCCCAACCCUGUUAGCUUCUGACCUCGCACCAUCCCCUGGCAGGGAGUUCCACAGGUUAAUGUGGCCUGACCACAGCCUGCUGCCUUUUCAUGAGGUCUGGGCAGGGGCAGCUCUGAGACCCAGUCCCCAUCUCCAGCCCAGGCAGGACAUUACAGCCUCCAUCCUACCCACGCUGU